UCUUAUCAGCUGAACUAAUUGAAAUAUGUACCGCCUAAAACUAUCACCACAUGUUUAUAAACCGUAAACUAGCUAGCUCAAGCAGAACAUACGACCAAAGAUACUGGUAACCUUUCAUCUGUGGUGCAACUUUUGGCUAGCAAGCGACUUAGCAGCAUGCCGGCAAAAGCACAUUUUGUUGUGACGAGAUGCCAUCGAGUAAAUUUAACGGUACACUAUUUUAUGUAGAAUGAAAAGCUUGACAGCAGUGGCUGCUUUUCAUUUUGGGUGGACAGGCUGCACCGAAAAAUAACGAUCAUGUCAAACGUGUGCAGGAUCACAUUUCGAGCAAAGUGGCUCUAUCAACUGAGAACAUGCGAUGGGUCUUGCCAGGAUGCUAAUCCUGAAUACGGAUGCUGUACCAUCAUUGACGAUGGAUUUUGCAAGCGAUGACCUUAAUCUUCCCAGGCAACCACAUCCACCCAAACUGUGGGUGUCGGCACCACCAUGCUCGAGUCACCUGUCGAAGACAGAACAUCCCAACCUGCACCUGCAAAACGGUCACGGAUGGAGUCCUGUUUGGAUGAAAGCCUCUAUCAACUUGUUAAGGGCUAAGUGGAAGCAUUAGGGAGUGAAUUGGGACUGGUUGUGACACUGCUCUGAAUGUCUCUACACCUCACUCCACUAGAUAUAAAAUACUUACUUACUCCCAUCCAUGUGUCCUCAGCUCCUCUUCUCAAUAUCAUUGCUCCUUGGAGGAGGAGAUCUAAGUGGAUAGACCUUUGAUCCCCUCCUCCGUCAUGCUUGGAGAGGUUGUCCAUAAAAGGGACCACAGUGACGGGAGGAAGCAAAGAUUUGAUAGAGAGUUACUCUAAUCAUUUCUGAUAUGACCUUUUACUGCGGGGCUGUUGUCUGCACUCAUACUGACAGAAUGUAGAUUCAUCCACAAAACAUUAUUUCCAUGAUUGAUAACUGGGAUAAAGUAGCCUAAAGAUGAUCAUAAUUUGAAAUGGAUUUUGAGUCUGGAUACUUUUUUGAGUGUUGGGAGAUUUAUUGAGUCAUACCUGUGUGUGUGUGUGUGUGGAUAUUCCAUGGAGGACAUUCCAAAAUACAUUGUGUAUGAGGAUUGCCCGUUGGAACUUGUCCAGGACUACCCCAUCUGCAGAAGGGUGCACAGUGUCACAUGAUUCAUGAGGACGACAUUCUUGUCUGCUCAUUUUUUCAGACAGUGGAAGAGCCAGCCUCUCAUUGGUAGCAUCCCAGCUGGUAGCAUCCCACCCAGAUGGGUCAUCUUUUAUCCAGACAAAGGCAAGUUAAAUGCACAUACUGGGAUAUAUUCUGCUGUUCAAUUGCCAUUCCAGUUCAAAACCAUGUACUCAACCAUAAUGUCUUUACAGAUGCUGACAGCUGUGCGUGUGAGGAUGAUUUGCAGCUACCAUCAUUUGUAUUUAUCACAGAGCAUGCAUAGCUGAUUCGGUCCAUGACACAGAGGGAGGGAGGAGUUGCCACUGAAGUAGACAUGAUGGCAGAAUCCCCAGUCCGCUCGGGUAGGGGAUGCAUAACCCCAAGAUUGCUCUUCGUCUUAUGAGCAAUAAGAUUGUCCAAUGUGAGGGUCGCAUCUAUGAUCACGGAUCGGUAUCCCCAGAUCCAGGAAUUCCUCAGAGAGGUGUAUCCUGAGAUCAUCCACUUCUAUGAUCCCUGGCAUGUGACAAAAGGUAUCUCAGGGAAAGUGGAGGUAGUAGCCAAGGACAAGGAAUGUCUGAAGGGGAAAAAAUGGGUGCAGAGCAUCACCAACCACCUCUACUGGUCGACGAGUCCUGGAGCAAGUGAGGAAGAGAGGUUGGCCAGGUGGACAUCGCUUUUCAAUCACCUGCAGAAUGUCCACACACAUGACAAUCCUCUCUUCCCUAAGUGCCUCCAUGCUCCAGAAGCACCAACAAAUGGCUGAUACAGUAUGUACCGUAAUACAAGAAAUUAUCAUCAAAUCUGUGUGACUUUUUGAGAUAUUUAAUACCACUCACUAACUACCACUUUUCUAGCAACCAAACCAAGCUGAUUACAAGCUGGAGAAGCAGCUGCUCAACAAGCAUUUACUGAAGGAUGUGGCCAAACUGAGCCCUGUCCACCAGACUUCUGCCCUGGAAAGCUUCCACAGCCUUAUUCUUAGGUUUACGCCCAAGAAAGUUUUUUUUUUCAUGCGUUGGAAUGCUGUGCAGGUAUAUUACGUCACAAAAAACGUGUUUUUUAACAUCUGUAAUGAGCAGUGACUACAGUAGUAUCCUUUUCCGUAAACAAACCCUUAUAAUUUUAGGCUAUACCUAGCAUCUAUGCGUUUCAAUGAGAACACCAACCGCAGGCAGGUACAAAAUGAGCUUACCCAAGGCUGUGAACACAGACCCAACAUAGUGGAAGUCAUAGUUAUUCAUUUCAAAAAUGCAUCAACUGAGCAUUUCAAGUACACAAAAAUGUGAAGUACAAACAUUGAGAAGUUUCACGACCAAAAAAGUACACAACCAAAUAUUGCAUAUUUCAAAUUGAGUACUUAUGAAACGCCAGAAAACACAUUGUAGAAUGAGUAGAUCACUAUGAAUUGAUAGCAUCAUAACUCAGAACUAAUAAAAUGUACUACACCUUUAACAAACAUUUCCCUUUUCAAAAACAUGACAUGCUACGUAUUGAGAUGAUAAAUUCCCCUACGUUGAUGACAUUUUGCAAAUUCAAUCAGUUUCCCCACGUUGAUUCAAUGUCAUGGCAAAGAUUUUUUUUGUUGUUGAAAUGAUGUGGAAGCAAUGUUGAUUCAACCAUUUCCCCCCCAGUGGGUAGCAUGACAUUCCCCUGAGCUACAUACCUUUUUUUUUCAUGUAAUGUAUAUCUGACUUUGACAUCCAUUUGGAUAUAACGAGUCGCAAAGAGCAAAGCACGAUAUCCAUUCCUGAUGUGAGAAUGACCCAAUAACUAUUUAAAGUCCCUUGUUUAAUGGUAAACCAUGGGCCCUGUCAUUCCAAUCCUAAAUAGUAUGCCUCAACCCAUUUUCUCAGCAAAAUGCUCUCACGGUCAACAGAGCUGAUCAUGGACUGUUGGAACAGCAGAAAUACACCAUUGAAUUCCUAUUGUUUUGUAACUAUUUACAGAAUACAGUUCACCUACACACUUCUUCACACUAAUUAGUAAAGCCUGAGUUACCUUGGAAGUUUAAACAUUUAUUUUAUUUAACUAGGCAAGUCAGUUAAGAACAAAUUCCUAUUUACAAUGGAGGCCUAACCCGGUCAAACCCUAACCCGGACGACACUGGGCCAAUUGUGCUCCGCUCUAUGGGACUCCCAAUCACGGCCAGUUGUAAUACAGCCUGGAAUCGAACCAGGGUCUGUAGUGACACCUCUAGCACUGAGAUGCAGUGCCUUAGACCCACUGCGCCACUCGGGAGCCUACAAAAAAUAUAGAGCUUCCCCGCAUAAGGGAAUGUACAUGAAAACAGAAUGCAAUAAGUGUACUGGACAAUGUAUUGGUGCCUCUGCAUUAGCAUUGUAAAUGACAAUAUGAUCUGAAUUUGAUGUAUCGAUCAACAUGAACAUUCAUGUCAAAUAAAGGCGAGAAAUAAUGGGGAGACAUCAUUUGACAUAAUAAUUAGAUCCAUAAGCCUAAUCUAGGCUGCCCUACAGUGUGCAGGACCCACUGAUUCGUACAAUUUGUGGCACUCAUUUCCCUCCCGAAAUCUUGAAUAAAACAAUACAAAGUAACAAAAUGUGAUAUCAUAUCACGUAAAAGUGAAUUACGUAGGCUUUAGGAAAUGCAACCAACUACAAAGAUUGAUGGGGAGGGGAGCGAGAGAGGAGCGGGACCCGUGUAACCCGGUUCAAUUAAGUAGGCUUCAGUCACCCACUUAGCUUCAAGAUUGAAGUGGGAGACAAUUCCAGCUAUGGCCUCCUCCUUGUCAGGCCUCUCACACCGGGCAGACAGGGGUCCUGGGAAGGGCCGCGCACACAGCUUCCCCUCAUACGGCCGUGGAUCA